rnacentral:rRNA from 1 species
UGGGGAAUAUUGCACAAUGGGCGCAAGCCUGAUGCAGCCAUGCCGCGUGUGUGAAGAAGGCCUUCGGGUUGUAAAGCACUUUCAGCGGGGAGGAAGGGAGUAAAGUUAAUACCUUUGCUCAUUGACGUUACCCGCAGAAGCAGCACCGGCUAACUCCGUGCCAGCAGCCGCGGUAAUACGGAGGGUGCAAGCGUUAAUCGGAAUUACUGGGCGUAAAGCGCACGCAGGCGGUUUGUUAAGUCAGAUGUGAAAUCCCCGGGCUCAACCUGGGAACUGCAUCUGAUACUGGCAAGCUUGAGUCUCGUAGAGGGGGGUAGAAUUCCAGGUGUAGCGGUGAAAUGCGUAGAGAUCUGGAGGAAUACCGGUGGCGAAGGCGGCCCCCUGGACGAAGACUGACGCUCAGGUGCGAAAGCGUGGGGAGCAAACAGG